rnacentral:rRNA from 1 species
UCUACAUCCAUGCCAUCCUGAACAUGUCCAGCCUCUGAUCUUGGGAGCUAAGCAGGGUCAGGCCUGGUUAGUACUUGGAUGGGAAGAAGGCAUCAAUGCUAAUCUCACCGGGAAAAUUAGCUCCUGUAAGAG